CCUACGGGUGGCAGCAGUGGGGAAUAUUGGACAAUGGGGGGAACCCUGAUCCAGCCAUGCCGCGUGUGUGAAGAAGGCCCUCGGGUUGUAAAGCACUUUCAGUGAGGAAGAACGCCUGGUGGUUAAUACCCAUCAGGAAAGACAUCACUCACAGAAGAAGCACCGGCUAACUCCGUGCCAGCAGCCGCGGUAAUACGGAGGGUGCGAGCGUUAAUCGGAAUUACUGGGCGUAAAGCGCGCGUAGGUGGCUUGAUAAGCCGGUUGUGAAAGCCCCGGGCUCAACCUGGGAACGGCAUCCGGAACUGUCAAGCUAGAGUGCAGGAGGAGAAGGUAGAAUUCCCGGUGGAGCGGUGAAAUGCGGAGAGAGCCGGAGGAAUACCAGUGGCGAAGGCGGGCUUCUGGACUGACACUGCCACUGGGGUGCGAAAGCGUGGGUAGCAAACAGGGUUAGAUAACCCAGUAGUC
rnacentral:rRNA from 1 species